AAAACGGCUCUUUUUAGAGCCACCCCAUUUUUUUAAAAGAGUAACC
rfam:Ciona savignyi cont_65240, whole genome shotgun sequence.